rnacentral:rRNA from 1 species
AUUGAACGCUGGCGGCAGGCUUAACACAUGCAAGUCGAGCGGAGAUGAGGUGCUUGCACCUUAUCUUAGCGGCGGACGGGUGAGUAAUGCUUAGGAAUCUGCCUAUUAGUGGGGGACAACAUUCCGAAAGGAAUGCUAAUACCGCAUACGCCCUACGGGGGAAAGCAGGGGAUCUUCGGACCUUGCGCUAAUAGAUGAGCCUAAGUCGGAUUAGCUAGUUGGUGGGGUAAAGGCCUACCAAGGCGACGAUCUGUAGCGGGUCUGAGAGGAUGAUCCGGCACGCUGGGACUGAGAAACGGCCCAGACUCCGACGGGAGGCAGCAGUGGGGAAUAUUGGACAAUGGGCGGAAGCCUGAUCCAGCCAUGCCGCGUGUGUGAAGAAGGCCUUUUGGUUGUAAAGCACUUUAAGCGAGGAGGAGGCUACCUGGAUUAAUACUCUAGGAUAGUGGACGUUACUCGCAGAAUAAGCACCGGCUAACUCUGUGCCAGCCGCCGCAGUAAUAC